rnacentral:rRNA from 1 species
GGCGAACGGGUGAGUAACACGUGAGUAACCUGCCCUUGACUUUGGGAUAACUUCAGGAAACUGGGGCUAAUACCGGAUAGGAGCUCCUGCUGCAUGGUGGGGGUUGGAAAGUUUCGGCGGUUGGGGAUGGACUCGCGGCUUAUCAGCUUGUUGGUGGGGUAAUGGCCUACCAAGGCGGCGACGGGUAGCCGGCCUGAGAGGGUGGACGGCCACAUUGGGACUGAGAUACGGCCCAG